CAGCAGACACAUUCCAGCCAAUCAGCAGCAGACCCUCCCUCCCAGACCCUCCCACCUCCUGGACAGCAUCCAUUUUACAUUCAUUGUGAAGCUGCAUUCUUAGUGAGCUGUCCAGGAGGUGGGAGAGUCUGGGAGGGAGGGUCUGCUGCUGAUUGGCUGGAAUGUGUCUACUG